AUGCUUGGGUCAACGCCGAAUUCUUACUGGAGAAAUGCCUUAAAUAAGGCAGCAGUUGUAAAAGUUGGUGCUGUUCAUAAGAUGCUGGAGCUAAUUGAAUCGCCUUGUGUUGUUGGUUCAUCGGUUUCUGAGGCGGUUGUUGCGAAUUUCCUUGGAUUGAUUGCUUUGGAUUCUAACAAACCAAUAAUUGGAUCCUCUGGUGCAAUACCUUUCCUUGUUUGA